rnacentral:tRNA from 1 species
GCAUCCGUAGCUCAGUUGGUAGAGCAGUAGACUCUUAAUCUAUUGGUCAGGGGUUCGAGUCCCCUCGGGUGUA